rnacentral:lncRNA from 1 species
AUGGAGAGUAAAUUUGAAAUGUACAAGGAGGCCAUAAAGAAGCAUGCAUACAUGUGUGCAAUGGAUCAAAUUGAAAACCACUAUGUGCCAAUAGAGGAGUUCAUUGCUGAACAAGCAAAGGUCGAGGACAGAGAAAUGAAAAUACUAGAGUUGAAAGCAAAACUUGGUAAACUCAAUACCUUGCCUUCAGAAAGUCCUAAUUUAGACUCUGCAGAAGGGAACAUUGAUCCAGAUCUUAAAUGCAAUGCUUCAGAUGCUUCGCAGGGACAAUGUGAUGAGAGAGACAAGCAAAUAAGAUCCUUGAACUUAAAAAUAGAGAAAUUAAAUGAAAUGUUGCAAGACGCCAAUGAACUCUACAGACAAGCAAUGGAAGAAAAUAAUAGACUUAAGCAAGUGAUGAUGCAUAAGGUUGGUCACAUGGCUACUAAAGCUGCAUUUGACUGCUCUCUCUCUCUCUCUCUCUCUCUCUCUCUCUCUCUCAGCUAUUUCUCCUGCUUAUGA